rnacentral:rRNA from 1 species
CUAGGAUGAACGCUAGCGACAGGCUUAACACAUGCAAGUCGAGGGCAUCACGGGAGUAGCAAUACAACGUGGUGGCGACCGGCGCACGGGUGAGUAACGCGUAUGCAACCUACCUAUCAGGAGGGGAAUAACCCGGCGAAAGUCGGACUAAUACCGCAUAAAACAGGGGCACCGCAUGGUGAUAUUUGUUAAAGAAAUUCGCUGAUAGAUGGGCAUGCGUUCCAUUAGGUAGUUGGUGAGGUAACGGCUCACCAAGCCGACGAUGGAUAGGGGAACUGAGAGGUUGGUCCCCCACACUGGUACUGAGACACGGACCAGACUCCUACGGGAGGCAGCAGUGAGGAAUAUUGGUCAAUGGGCGGGAGCCUGAACCAGCCAAGUCGCGUGAAGGAAGAAGGAUCUAUGGUUCGUAAACUUCUUUUGCAGGGGAAUAAAGUGCAGGACGUGUCCUGUUUUGUAUGUACCCUGAGAAUAAGGAUCGGCUAACUCCGUGCCAGCCGCCGC